rnacentral:rRNA from 1 species
GUGGGGAAUAUUGGACAAUGGGGGGAACCCUGAUCCAGCCAUGCCGCGUGUGUGAAGAAGGCCUUUUGGUUGUAAAGCACUUUAAGCGAGGAGGAGGCUACCGAGAUUAAUACUCUUGGAUAGUGGACGUUACUCGCAGAAUAAGCACCGGCUAACUCUGUGCCAGCAGCCGCGGUAAUACAGAGGGUGCAAGCGUUAAUCGGAUUUACUGGGCGUAAAGCGCGCGUAGGUGGCCAAUUAAGUCAAAUGUGAAAUCCCCGAGCUUAACUUGGGAAUUGCAGUCGAUACUGGUUGGCUAGAGUAUGGGAGAGGAUGGUAGAAUUCCAGGUGUAGCGGUGAAAUGCGUAGAGAUCUGGAGGAAUACCGAUGGCGAAGGCAGCCAUCUGGCCUAAUACUGACACUGAGGUGCGAAAGCAUGGGGAGCAAACAGGAUUAGAAACCCGUGUAGUCC